rnacentral:rRNA from 1 species
UACGUAGGCGCGAGCGUUAUCCGGAAUUAUUGGGCGUAAAGAGCUCGUAGGCGGUUUGUCACGUCUGCUGACUGAAAACUGGACGGCUCAACCUCCAGCCUGCAGUGGGUACGGGCAGACUAGAGUGCGGUAGGGGAGAUUGGAAUUCCUGGUGUAGCGGUGAAAUGCGCAGAUAUCAGGAGGAACACCGAGUGGCGGAAGGCAGGUCGCUGGGCAUUAACUGACGCUGGAGGAGCGGAAAGCAUGGGAGCGAACAG